rnacentral:rRNA from 1 species
GAGUGGCGGACGGGUGAGUAAUGUCUGGGAAACUGCCUGAUGGAGGGGGAUAACUACUGGAAACGGUGGCUAAUACCGCAUAACGUCGCAAGACCAAAGAGGGGGACCUUCGGGCCUCUUGCCAUCAGAUGUGCCCAGAUGGGAUUAGCUUGUUGGUGAGGUAACGGCUCACCAAGGCGACGAUCCCUAGCUGGUCUGAGAGGAUGACCAGCCACACUGGAACUGAGACACGGUCCAGACUCCUACGGGAGGCAGCAGUGGGGAAUAUUGCACAAUGGGCGCAAGCCUGAUGCAGCCAUGCCGCGUGUAUGAAGAAGGCCUUC